rnacentral:rRNA from 1 species
GAGUAAAGAUUUCGGUCGCUUUGGGAGGAGCUCGCUUACUAUCAGCUUGUUGGUAGGGUAAUGGCCUACCAAGGCUAUGACGGUUAGGGGGUGUGAGAGCAUGACCCCCAGCAUUGGCACUGAAACACUGGCCAAACACCUACGGGUGGCUGCAGUCGAGAAUCUUCCACAAUGGGGGAAACCCUGAUGGAGCGAUGCUGCGUGCGGGAUGAAGGCCUUCGGGUUGUAAACCGCUUUUGUAGGGGACGAAAUUUUUGACGGUACCCUUUCGAAUAAGAGGUUGCUAACUCUGUGCCAGCAGCAGCGGUAAUACAGAGACCUCAAGCGUUAUCCGGAUUUACUGGGCGUAAAGCGUCUGUAGGGGGUUUAUUAAGUUCCAAGUAAAAUUUCAAGGCUCAACUUUGAAUUCGCUUGGAAAACUAAUAAACUGGAGUCUAGCAGAGGUGCAUGGAACUUGUGGUGUAGGAGUGAAAUCCGUUGAUAUCACAAGGAACACCAAAGGCGAAGGCAUUGCACUGGGCUAGCACUGACCCUGAGAGACGAAAGCGUGGGGAGCAAAACGGAUUAGAUACCCGUGUAGUCCACGCCCUAAACGAUGAAUGCUAAAUGUUCGGGGAUUCGACCCCCUGGGUGUUACAGCUAACGCGUUAAGCAUUCCGCCUGGGAAGUACGGCCGCAAGGCUAAAACUCAAAGGAAUAGACGGGGAUCCGCACAAGCGGUGGAGCGUCUGGUUUAAUUCGACAGUAAGCGUGGUACCUCACCAGGGUUUGACAUCCCUUGACAGCCUUGGAAACAAGGUUUCCUUCGGGCAAGGUGACAGGUGCUGCAUGGUCGUCGUCAGUUCGUGCCGUGAGGUGUUCCGUUAAGUCGGGAAACGAACGAAACCCCUAUUGCAUGUUACAAUUUCUCAUGCAAGACUGCCCGGAUAUACUGGGAGGAAGGUGGGGAUGACGUCAGAUCUGCAUGGUCCUUAUACCCUGGGCGACACAGGCGCUACAAUGGCAGAGACAAAGGGUUGCAAAACCGCAAGGUGAAGCUAAUCCCAAAAACUUUGUCUAAGUUCGGAUUGAAGGCUGCAAUUCGCCUUCAUGAAGCUGGAAUCGCUAGUAAUCGUGAAUCAGCCACGUCACGGUGAAUAUGUUCCCGGAUCUUGUACUCACCGCCCGUCACACCAAGAGAGUUGGUAGCUCCCGAAGCG